GAUGAACGCUGGCGGCGUGCCUAAUACAUGCCAGUCGAACGGGGAGUAGCAAUACUCUUAGUGGCGAACGGGUGAGUAACGCGUUGGUACCUGCCCCGAAGCGGGGGAUAACGGACCGAAAGGUCCGCUAAUACCCCAUGUGCUCGGUAACGAGUAAAGGUGAAAACCACUUUGGGAGGGGCAUGCGUCCCAUCAGCUAGUUGGUAAGGUAACGGCUUACCAAGGCGAUGACGGGUAGGGGACCUGAGAGGGUGGCCCCCCACAAUGGAACUGAAACACGGUCCAUACACCUACGGGUGGCAGCAGUAGGGAAUAUUGGUAAGGGGCGCAAGCCUGAACCAGCAACGCCGCGUGUGCGAUGACGGCCUUCGGGUUGUAAAGCACUUUUGACUGGGACGAGGAAGGACGGUACCGGUCGAAUCAGCCUCGGCUAACUACGUG
rnacentral:rRNA from 1 species